rnacentral:rRNA from 1 species
GAUGAACGCCGGCGGCGUGCUUAACACAUGCAAGUCGAACGGAAAGGCUCCUGCUUGCAGGGGUACUCGAGUGGCGAACGGGUGAGUAACACGUGGGUGAUCUGCCCUGCACUUCGGGAUAAGCCUGGGAAACUGGGUCUAAUACCGGAUAGGACGAUGGUUUGGAUGCCAUUGUGGAAAGUUUUUCGGUGUGGGAUGAGCUCGCGGCCUAUCAGCUUGUUGGUGGGGUAAUGGCCUACCAAGGCGUCGACGGGUAGCCGGCCUGAGAGGGUGUACGGCCACAUUGGGACUGAGAUACGGCCCAGACUCCUACAGGAGGCAGCAGUGGGGAAUAUUGCACAAUGGGCGCAAGCCUGAUGCAGCGACGCCGCGUGGGGGAUGACGGCCUUCGGGUUGUAAACUCCUUUCGCUAGGGACGAAGCGCAAGUGACGGUACCUGGAGAAGAAGCACCGGCUAACUACGUG